rnacentral:rRNA from 1 species
GUGUCUGUCAAUCAGGGACGAAAGUUAAGGGAUCGAAGAUGAUUAGAUACCGUCGUAGUCUUAACCGUAAACGAUACCAACACGAGAUUGGUAGCGAAACCAUUAUUAGAUCCUGUCAGAAUCCAAGGGAAACCGUUAAGUCUUUGGGUUCUGGGGGGAGUAUGGUCGCAAGGCUGAAACUUAAAGGAAUUGACGG